ensembl:piRNA 21ur-6570 ncRNA
UUGGUGAAUCGGUCCCGGUUU